UAUGGCCACAUCACAUUGAAACAACAGUUCUUGUAUGAUCACUGAAGUUAAGCAACAUUGAGCCUGGUCAAUACUUAGAUGGGUAACUGCUUGGGAAUAACAGGUUCUGUAAG